AUCUACAGUAAAGGGAGGGGCCCCACUGGCAUCUACAGUGAAGGGAAGAACCACCCUGGCAUCAACAGUGAUGGCAGAUGGGCGACCAGUGUAGCGGUGUCUGGAGCUGAGGUUGGACCCAUUAGUUGGGGCUGCUAAUCAGUUCACCAUGUGGGCUGUGGGCCAAGCCACUGAAGGGAUGCACCUGGAUUAGGAGUGACUGGGCUGGAUCUGAGAAUUGUAUCUGAAAUAAAAAAUAUACAAGAUGGUUUUACAGCAGAAUGAAUAAAGCAGAAGAAAAGAACAGUGAACUGGUAUACAGGUUAAAAAAAAAUUAACCAAAUGAAAGAGUGAGAAAAACCCUGAAAAACUGAAAAAGACUACAGAGAAUGUCGAUGAUCUAUGGGACAACACCAAGUCACUAAUAUGUGUACCUGGAAUCCCAAAAGGAGAAGAGAGAGAGAAUGAAGUAAAAAAAAUUUUUAAAAAUAUUGACCUUGAGAGCCUAGGAAGUAAAAAAAGAAAAAGAAAUGACAAAGAAAUAUUGACCUCAAGAUUUCCAAGUUUGAUGAAAAUCCUAAAUCCCUAAAAUUAAGAAGCUCAAUGAAUUCCAACAGGAUAAAUACAAUGAAAAUCACACACAGUCAAACAACUAAAAAUGAAAAAUAAACAUCCAACAAGUAGUCAAAAGAAAAACAAUAACAUAUACAGUCAUCCUUGGUAUCCUCAAGGGAACUGGUUCCAGGAUGUGGGCCAUGGAUAAGGAGGGCCGGCUGUACUGAGAAACAAAAAGACUGUUGACUUCUCUCCAGAAACAAUGCAAGCUAAUAGACAAUAGAAGAUAAUAUCUGAAAUGCUAAAAACAAUAAAACAAAAAACUAUCAACCUAGAAUCACAGGCCUAGAAAAAAUAAUCCAUAUGCAUCAAAGAUGAAGGUGAACUAAGAUGAGAGAAUUUAUUUCCAGCAGACCUGCAUUACUGGAACUGUUAAAGAAAAUUACUUGGCAGAGGAGAUCACAGGAAGACUGUAAAAGUGUGAGUGAUGAAAAACAUUUGGAUAAAUUAUAAUGCUGUAACAAAGCCUCGUCUUAAUUUCUUUGAGAGACUUUUGACUUUUUUGAACAGAAACAACAUUAUAAGGUCUAAUGCAUAUAGUAGUAAAAUAUGAUAACAGGACACAAGGAAUUAGAGGGAGAAAUUGGGUGUCAUAAUGGCAGUGGGUAUCCACAAUGGCAAUAGUAUACAGCUGUCUCUGCAGAAUCGUCUCCCUGGCAAGAACUAUAACUGCUGUGGCCACUCCAGUUGUCAUUUACGGACAGCUCACUAGGAUGCAGGUGCUCUUGUUAUGAUGCUCACCAUGCAGGUGAGGAGCCCUGCCCAGGAAUCAGAGCCCUGCAGGCUGAAGCGUGACUUCCACAGGCCCUUCUGCAUAUCUUUGAUGGGAGCAGGCUGGUCAGGCUGAGAACCCAGCACUCCCCUGACUUCACAGGUUCACAGGUGUCCCCCUGACUAGAUAACCUCCCCCAGGCGCCCACUGGACCAAAAUGUUUCCUAAGAGCACUGAAUGGUGUGAUUGAUACAAACCCCACGAGGUUAUAAAAUAUCAAGCAAAUGUGAGAUAUUAUCAUCACUGCCACCACCACCAGCCUGGAACAUUUUAAUUCCAUUUUUGGAAAUAUUCCCAUUUUCCUGAAGGAACAAGAAAAUCAAAAUCCCCCUUUCUGACCACUCAUUUAAACUGAUCCUAAGAAACACAGAAAGAAAACAUGUCAAAUUCCCUGCUACCCUGACAGUUAACAGGAUCUCUGAAAAAUAAAAUUGUUCUUAAGUGUUUAUCUAAUCAGCUGAAAGGAAGCAGCCAACAGGCCUCAAAACAAGAGGACACUUUAAAGGACCUAGGGUGCCAGGACAAGAGAAGUACCUCGCCUGCGUAGCGGUUGCGCAAAUUCAGGGAUGCCAUGAAGUUGGAGUAGUCUUUCUUCACACAGGCCGGACGCUCGGUCAGCUGAGUUGCCUACAGACAAAUAACCAUUAUUUUAGACUAUGGCAGCACUAUCCUUUUCUCGUGUUUACCAUGGCUAAGCCUAAACCCAAUUAAGAAGUCACACUCGGAUCUGGGGGUUACUAUUAAUAAAAAUCUUCACUGCUGGCAAGUUAAUAAAGCAAAAUAUUUUAG